GUGGGGAAUUUUGGACAAUGGGCGCAAGCCUGAUCCAGCAAUGCCGCGUGCAGGAAGAAGGCCUUCGGGUUGUAAACUGCUUUUGUACGGAACGAAACGGUCCGGGUUAAUACCCUGGGCUAAUGACGGUACCGUAAGAAUAAGCACCGGCUAACUACGUGCCAGCAGCCGCGGUAAUACGUAGGGUGCAAGCGUUAAUCGGCAUUACUGGGCGUAAAGCGUGCGCAGGCGGUUUUGUAAGACAGGCGUGAAAUCCCCGGGCUCAACCUGGGAAUUGCGCUUGUGACUGCAAGGCUGGAGUGCGGCAGAGGGGGAUGGAAUUCCGCGUGUAGCAGUGAAAUGCGUAGAUAUGCGGAGGAACACCGAUGGCGAAGGCAAUCCCCUGGGCCUGCACUGACGCUCAUGCACGAAAGCGUGGGGAGCAAACAGGAUUAGAAACCCUGGUAGUCC
rnacentral:rRNA from 1 species